AUAAGAGGUCCCGCCUGCCCAGUGACUCUGUUCAACGGCCGCGGUAUCCUAACCGUGCGAAGGUAGCGUAAUCACUUGUUCUUUAAAUAGGGACUAGUAUGAAUGGCACCACGAGGGUUAUACUGUCUCCCCCUUUUAAUCAGUGAAACUAAUCUCCCCGUGAAGAAGCGUGGAUGAUACUAUAAGACGAGAAGACCCUAUGGAGCUUUAAACUAGUUUCCCAACAACCUCACCUCCUUUUUAAGCUUAUGCUUUUAAUAAUCAGCCUGGUUCUAUGGGAACAAGUUUUAGGUUGGGGUGACCACGGAGUAAAAAACAACCUCCGAGCUGUAAGGGGCUACCCCCUGAACAACAAACUACAACUUUAUGUACCAAUAUAUUGACACCUAUUGACCCAAUAUUUUGAUCAACGAACCAAGUUACCCUAGGGAUAACAGCGCAAUCCGCUUCAAGAGCUCCUAUCGACAAGCGGGUUUACGACCUCGAUGUUGGAUCAGGGUGUCCCAGUGGUGCAGCCGCUACUAAAGGUUCGUUUGUUCAACGAUUAAAACCCUACGUGA
rnacentral:rRNA from 1 species